rnacentral:rRNA from 1 species
UACGGGGGGGGCAAGCGUUGUUCGGAAUUACGGGGCGUAAAGGGCUCGUAGGCGGCCAACUAAGUCAGACGUGAAAUCCCUCGGCUUAACCGGGGAACUGCGUCUGAUACUGGAUGGCUUGAGUAUGGUAGAGGUUGGUGGAACUGCGAGUGUAGAGGUGAAAUUCGUAGAUAUUCGCAAGAACACCGGUGGCGAAGGCGGCCAACUGGACCAUUACUGACGCUGAGGCGCGAAAGCGUGGGGAGCAAACAGG